rnacentral:rRNA from 1 species
AGAAGGUAUAGCAACAGCUAGUUGUAUAAAUAUAACUGUAACAGGUUUUUUUAUUUUACAAUAUCGAGUUUCUCGAAUAAAAUUCUAGGUAGAUUUAUGAUAAUGACAUUAUCUAUCUAUGUGUCUUGACCAAAAUACGUGCCAGCAGUCGCGGCAAGACGUAGAAGACUAGUGUUAUUCAUCUUUAAUUGGUUUAAAGCGUACCUAGACGGUAAUUAUAGCCUAAAUAAGGUACUUUUUUACUAGAGUUAUAUGUAAGGGUGUAUUAAAGUACUGUUGAGUUUAGAGAUGAAAUUCUUUGAUACCAGAUAAUUGGCACAGGUAAAGGCGAAAGCAUCACUUUAUGUAAUAACUGACGUUGACGGACGAAGGCUAUGUGUAGCAAACAGGAUUAGAGACCCUAGUAGUCUUAGCAGAAAAUUAUGAAUGUCAUAGGUUAGAUUUUAUUUGGUCUAUAAAUGAAAGUGUAAGCAUUCCACCUCAAGAGUAAUUUGGCAACAUUGGAACUGAAAUCAUUAGACCGUAUCUGAAAUCAGUAGUGAAGUAUGUUGUUUAAUUUGAUAAUCCGCAAAAAACCUUACCACAACUUGAAUAUAAAUUAUAUUUUUUUACAAGUGUUGCACGGCUGUCUUCAGUUAAUGUCGUGAGAUCUUGGUUUGCUCCAUUUAAUUAACGUAAACCCUUACUCUAUUUUUAUAUAGAGUUUUCCGCCGCUAUAUAUGAUGUGAUAAAAGGGACUAAGACAAGUCAUCAUGGC